AACCACCACGUAGGCAUAUCUCUUCCCACCAAGACUUUCAACCUGCAUAGGUCCCAUUAAGUCCAUAUGCAACAGUUCCAGAACUCUGGAAGUUGUAGGAUGUCCCAGCUUCGGAUGUGACAUCUUGGUUUGCUUGCCCACCUGGCAUUCACCACAGACUCUUCCUUCAUCAAUAAGCAGCUUUGGGAUCCCUCUGACUGCUUCCUUGGAUAUAAUCUUCUUCAUUCCCCGUAAGUGGAGAUGUCCAAGUCGUCUAUGCCACAGCUUCAC
rnacentral:lncRNA from 1 species